AUGCCCUGGUCUCUCGCUUACUGCAAGUGCAGAGAUUGCUUGGGUCGAUGCAAGUUGCUCAACUUUUAUCUUGGUGCAUUCAUCUCUAGCCAUGCUUACCAUUGCAUUAUGCGGGACAGAGGAACAGAAGCAGAAGUAUUUACCUUCUUUGGCCCAGUUAAAAACUGUAGCUUAUUAGGCUUUGACUGAGCCUGACUAUGGAAGUGAUGCGAGUUCUCUGAAGACAACUGCAACAAAGGUCAAAGGAGGUUGGAUACUCGAGGGACAAAAACGCUGGAUAGGAAACAACACUUUUGCAGAUGUAUUGGUUAUCUUUUGCAGAUCCAAAAGGAGGAGCCAGAGGGAGACCUGGAGGGAGGCCAAUGAAAGACGACAGUGGAGUAUGGGAUGGAGAAGUGCCUGAUACAUGGAAACGUGUAGAUAAAGCUGAGCUUGCUCGUUGGGUUCGCGAGAUGAGAGAGUCGAGAACAGCUCUGGUGGCACAGAAGUUUGAGCGUAAAGCAACUGCACCAGCGGGGAGAGUGCUUAACACUAUGCAAUCGUUCCCUCAUAGCGUGGACUGUGUUGAUCCACUUGGACUAGGAAUAAUAGACAACAAGACCUUCAGGUUGGUCAAUGAUUCAUCUGAAAGCACUCGCGUUGAGAAAGAUCAUAUCGACAGUAACGUCUGUGAGAAGUUGAUGUAUUUCUCUGAAAAUCUUGAUGCAAAGUUGUUUCUGUCCCGGAUACACCAAGAUACACCACCUGCUGCAGACUUGGAGGCUGGAGCUCUUGCACUAAAAAACAGAUCUCCAAGGGCAGACUCAGCAGAGGAAACAAUUGGUUAAAGACAAUUUUGAAUGUUUUGUUUCAUGCAAAACAACAAUUGAUGGUAAAGCACCUCGCUUCACUUGAUUCUGAUAUCGAGUCAAAACUGAAGCGAAUCGAGGAAGACCCUGAAGGUUCAGGGACAGUUAACUUGUACAAAUGUAUGCAAGGAGUAUGUUCACAGGCAGAACGGGCCUUUGAGCCUCUAUUUGAGAGACAUGUUGGUUAAUUGCAGGUGUUGGUUUGCUUUCAAAUUCAUUUAUGAUUAUGCUACUC